GGUUAUACAAGUAUUAACUGUGGUGAUGCAAUUCGCACCUUUCACCUGAAGGAAAAUGCUGGAUGUGGAAUGCAACCUUUUGGCAUAGUAAAUUCCUCAGUGUUUGUCCUGAGACCCGUGGCAGAACAAGAAGCCAGUUCUGGUCCUCAUCCCUUCCAAACCCGCAGUACUGCACUGUUUAGUCUUCUGUUUAGUCUUGUUGUUCUAGUUAAAACCUAUUUUAUCACUAGAGAUAGAUAGGAGGCUGGCUUUAAAAAAGUAAUUGCUAAUCGUGAGAAAUCCUGACUGAAGAAAAGUCAAUCCUCUACUGCAGAAACGUACCUGCUUUGGUUUGGAUGCUUUCUUUCAGAGAGCCAGUGCACGACAGUCAUCGCAGUUAAGAAGCCCAAAGCACCAACAAAUACGUAUGAACUGACAGCAAUGGAGAUUCUUCCUGAGAGGAGGUGUCAUUCUGUGGAUUUAGAUCUCAACCUAGCUGAUGUGGAGAGCAGCCAAAAGAAGAGAAAGGCCAAACUACUUGGAAGUCUUGAAAGAGGCCUGGAUAAAGUGAUUACAGUGCUUACAGCAGGCACAAAGAAGUGAUUCAGCUGACAGGGGCCAAGAAAGCUUAAGUUUGCACUCAUUGCCUCUUGUCCUGAUGCUGAUCACCAUUGAAAAUCAUCUGACCCCAUCCACUGGACACCUAUGAUUCAGACUCAGCUGAAGAUUCCGUCCCCUUUUUUGUCCACAGUCCACCCAUCAAAUCCAUACCUUUCCAAUUUGGAGAGAAGUAUGUUGUGAGGUACCAUAUCAAAGGCCUUACUGAAAUUGAGGUCGGUGACAUCAGUGGUUCUUCCCUUGUCCAUUGAUACAGUGACACCAUCAUAGAAGGCCGCUAGUUGGUCAAGCAGGAUUUGCCCUUGGUGAAGUCAUGCUGAUUCUCCUGUAUCACCUCUUUGCCUUCUAUGUGCCUUAGUGUGGAAUCACAGAAUGUCAGGGAUUGGAAGGGACCUCUAAAGAUCCAUCUAUUCCAGCCCCCUGCCGGAGCAGGAGCUCCUGUGUUAGGUCACUCAGGAACUUCCAGGUGGGUUUUGAAUGUCUCCAGAGAAGAAAACCCAACAACCUCUCUGAGCAGCCCAUUCCAGUGUUCUGUUACGCUCACCUAAAUAAUUUUUUUCUCAUAUUUACGUGGAACCUCCUGCGUUCCAGCCUGUGCCCACUGCCCUUUGUCCUAUCACUGGGUGUCACUGAGAAGAGCCUGGCUCCAUUCUCUUGACACUCACCCUUUACAUAUUUAUGAACAUUAACGAGGUCACCCUCAGUCUUCUCCAAGCUGAAGAGAACCAGCUCCCUCAUUUUGUCCUUGUGAGGGAGAUGUUCUGCUCCUUCCAUCAUCUCUGUGUCUCUGUCCUGCACUCUCUCAAGCAGUUCCCUGUCCUUGAAUGAAGGGGCCCAGAGCUGGACAUAAUAUUCCAGAUGCGGUCUCACCAGGGCAGAGUGGUGGGAGAGGAGAACCUCUCUCUCCUACUGACCACAGCCCUUCUAUUACACCCCAGGAUGCCUUUUGCCUUCUUGUCCACGAGGGCACAGUGCUGGCCCAUGGUCAUCCUGCUGUCCACCAGGACUCCAGGUCCCUUUCCUCUGCUCUCCUCUCCAACAGAUCUGUCCCAACCUACCCUGGUACCUGGGGUUGUUUUUGUCCACAUGCAGGACUCUACACUCGCCCAUGUUACAUCGCAUUCAAUUCCUCCCUGCCCAACUCUCCAGCCUGUCUAGAUGUAGCUUCCAGGAGGAUCUGUUGCAUGAUUUUUCCUGGCACAGAGGUGAGACUGACAGGUCGGUAGUUCUCUGGGUCAUCCUUUUUAAAUGAUGUGACCUUUUUUCCAGUCUCCAGGGACUUUACCUGAUUGC